UUGUGAAGCAUUGCUUCUUGGAUCAGGAGGGGAGCUGGGCUGCUUCACUGGCUCUGCACGUGGAGAGUCUGCGGAUAGAGAGAAGAAGCUGAGCUUUGGAUUGUGCUGUGUGAGGGAGUUCUUUAGUCCAGGCAUGGGUCUAUAAAUGGUCCUAAUUCACCAGUGCCUACAGAGGUGGAUUGUCAUCAGGCACACAAAAGGGCCUGGGCAGCAAGACCACGAGAAGAUGGUCAUUUUAUAAAGCAAAGGCAUGGAGAAGUGAGGCCUCUGGACUUCAGGCAAAUGGGAGAUACCACGAGCUCUGCUGCCAGAAUUAACGCCAUCCCACGUAAGGGAAGUCUUGCAUGGAGUGUGCUCAGGAUUUGGG
rnacentral:lncRNA from 1 species